AAGUCGUAACAAGGUUUCCGUAGGUGAACCUGCGGAAGGAUCAUUAUUGAUUGGUCGAAAGACCUUAUCAGAUUCUACCACCUCUGUGAACUGUUGACCUCCGGGUCUAAUUCAAACAUCAGUGUAAUGAACGUAAAAUAUAUAACAAAAACAAAACUUUCAACAACGGAUCUCUUGGCUCUC
rnacentral:misc_RNA from 1 species